rnacentral:misc_RNA from 1 species
CUACCCUCAAGCACGGCUUGUGUGUUGAGCAUCUGUUCUUUUUUCAUGGACAUGCUUGAAAUGCAGUGGCGAUGGCGAGUUUUGGAGCCCGAGCGUAUGGAGCCUUGUCACACGCUGCGGUGGCCCAGCUCACGUCUGUCAGUUAUUACACAAAUCU